CGCUUGGACGGGCUGGGGUGGGACUCUUUUCCCUCGGGCUGGCCGGCGGAAGGAUCGCGCGGAGGUAGCGCGUGAUGAAGCCGCUCCCCGUCGUCCCGCCGCCGCGCCUGCGCGCACGGGAGGCUGCUCGCCUCCGCGAGGGAGCGGAGAGGGGCUCCGGCGGCGGCUCCCCGGCCCGGCUGCGGGGCUGGCGGCUCCUUCGCUCGGAGGAGGCAGCGGGGAAGGCCCCGCUGGGCCGGUCAGAUGCACCGCCCGCCCUCCGCCCACCGUUCCCCUGCAAGCGGGGUUGUGGGCGCUCACGGCCUCCCUCUGCUCCUUCCAGCAGCCCCCGCCAUCAAAGGGGGGUUAAGUUCGCCCCCCCUCAGUGACGCUUUGGCAGCAGAUGGCCUGCUCUGCCUGGCAGUCCCACUGACAUAGCGAAAGGUAGAGAUGCCUCAAGUGCCAGGGAAGCUGAGAAGUUGUCUCCCAGCUCCAUUUAUUCCUUUUGUCCGCUCCACUUAAGAACUGGACAACUAAACUUACAUAAAAUUUGGUGAGGAGCAGAGCUCUCGUCGGAAGUCACCUUCAUCCCGAAAGAGGAAGGGCCCAGAGCAUCUCUGCUGCCUGCCCUUAGGCAGGCUGAGCUUGGGCCGUUGGUGGAGGAAGCCCUUGCAGAGGCAUUCGAGCACCCAUCAAAGCAGUCAGGAGAGAGGCACAGUUUGCGAAACAAUGUUGUGGAACGUUGGGAAGAGCAACAGAAGGAAACAAGGAGAAUCCUAAAGAAUAGUUUAUGGUGAAAUUACCUGAGAAGUCUUUGCUCGGCUUCCUGGAGUAAGUGCUCAUCAAAUAAAAAUCAGCAGCGCAUAGGAGCUCACAGAGAGGAAUGAAAUGGGUUCGAGCACUGAACUGCCUUUGACCUCCGUGAAAACUGAACUACCCAAAAUCGCUAGUUAUUUUUGCAAAUCUUACCCUUUCUGUGCAAUGAAUCAAUCAAUGGAAUGCUAAUUUUCCAAGUAGUGUGGAAGUCAGGACGUGCGAAUGAUAAGACUGCAUUAGCUACGUAGCUUACGUUCUACUGUACCUUAGCUAUGCUUGUUCUUAGAGGCAGUAAUGAAUUGCGCUUUGAAGAAAAAUAAUCUAGUUUUCCUGAAGUAUGUGGCAAAGGAAAAAAAGAAACUAGAUGCUGUCUCCUUCAUUUCUUUCAGCUUAAGACGUAGAUUUACACUGCAGCUGGACAGACAAACCCUGGCUUCAGUUUCACAAACAGAAUUCAGCUGUUCUGUGCGUGAAACUGAAGCUAAAUUGUUGUCCUGGCAUGGAAAAGGAAAAAGCAUCUGGCCAGUAAGAGAGGCUAGAAGCAAGCGAGCCCCCUUUCCAAAGUACUCUACGUUGGUUUACUUCAUCCAAAAUGGAUGAGAAAAAAAAGCAGCCUGAACUCCCUGUCCAAAUACUUGUCAGCUUUAGGAAAAAAAAAAAGUUUAACAAAAAGAUAAAAUAGUUUGCACACUAAGUGUCUUGGUUACCUAGACGCAUUUUUAAAUAAAGAUAACAGAAAGAGCAGCCAUGGCUUGUGUGUAGCUUGCACCGUCAACAACUCGUGCAGUUGUGCAAUCUGUUCUGCCUCUUUUAAAUCAAUUGUCAGUUUUAGUGCUCUCCCUUAUCAGAAGCUAUCACCUGUCACGCAGGGAGAGGCGGUCUCAGGUAUGCAGCCACUUGGUUUUGACUCUUAAGUCUGCAGAAUCGCAUGUUAAAAGAGGUCUGUUGACAUUAGAAAUCAUCAGAAGCUGAAUCACAGGAGUGCCAGAUCAAGUCUAACGUCUCCACGGCCUCGAAGGACUUUGUAGCUGUUACCACACCGCUUUCCGACAGUCUCUCGCAACUUCUUCCGAACAGCAGGAAUAUAAAUUAUUUACUAGGAAAACAAACCCUGCUCUUUGAGCUGACAAAGAUUCCCUUACUGUCUGUUCUCACCGCAGAGCUUCCUGAACCACCAAGACGCGCUUCUGCUUUCAUCCAGAACAGUGAAGUACGUGCGUACUUUUAGCAAAUCAAGUACCUCUUUCACAUUCGGUAAUUAAUUCAGAGAGGAGAACUGCAAGCACUGAAUUAACCUUUUUACCUGAUUUAUUUUUACUGAAUAAACGGCCCUAUAAUCUAAUUUUCUCAACCAGAACAGAUAUUUUCUGCGGUUUGCUUUACGAUUUGGAACAUGAUCUAAUCUAUUCCAAAUAUAUUCCAUUUAACUUGGUAACGUAAAACCUUCAGACCGUGUCCCUCACCCUAGGGAUCGCACCUGUAAAUCAGUCGUUCUUCCUAGA